rnacentral:rRNA from 1 species
AUGCGGCGUCAACUCUCGACGCUGAAGAAGAACGACCUCACCGCCGCCGCCUACUUUCACAAGAUCAAGGGUUUCGCGGACGCCAUGGCCCAGGUGGGGUCGCCUCUCUCCGAUGCUGAGGUGAUCGACUACAUCGUCGUCGGUCUCGGGCCUCAGUACGAGUCCCUCCAGCACUCUUUCAUGGUGUUGGCAGCCGCCGGCGCUGACAACCUUAGCCUAUCGGAUUUCUACUCCAUGCUCCUCUCCUGCGAAUCCCUCAAGGAGCAGAACGCCUUCGCCCCCGAGUUCUCCACCUCCGCUAAUGCCGUGGCACGGCAAGGCGACGGCUGUGGAGGGGGGCGCAUCUUCGCCGACACCACCAACGACGGCCGCGACGGGGGUCGUCCUACUGGCUCGCACGGAGGCGGCCAGUACAACGGCGGUCAGCAGGCCUCCCGCGGUAACAACCGCCCCAACCAAGGGGGCGGUGGUGGUGGCAACGGCGGAGGAGGAGGAGGACAGGGCAACGGCGGUGGCAGGCGCAACAACCGGCGAGAGCGCCCCCGCUGUCAAGUUUGCCGAUACUGGGGGCAUGAGGCUCUCCAGUGCAAACAACGCUACAACCACGCGUUUCAGUACGACGAAAAUCGUGCUGGCAAUUCUGCCUCUUUCCAACCUGCCCCCAGUCAACCUUGGCUCUUCGACACCGGCGCCACGGACCAUCUCACCAACGACAUGAGCCGGAUGAACAUCCAGGAGCGCUACAAUGGCACGGACCAAGUGCAAGUCGCCAACGGUGCAGGACAAGUUUACGAAGAAAAUUCUUCUUCGCGGUAG